rnacentral:rRNA from 1 species
UGAGGAAUAUUGGUCAAUGGGCGAGAGCCUGAACCAGCCAAGUAGCGUGCAGGAUGACGGCCCUAUGGGUUGUAAACUGCUUUUAUGUGGGGAUAAAGUGCGUGACGUGUCAUGCAUUGCAGGUACCACAUGAAUAAGGACCGGCUAAUUCCGUGCCAGCAGCCGCGGUAAUACGGAAGGUCCGGGCGUUAUCCGGAUUUAUUGGGUUUAAAGGGAGCGUAGGCUGUCUAUUAAGCGUGUUGUGAAAUUUACCGGCUCAACCGGUGGCUUGCAGCGCGAACUGGUCGACUUGAGUAUGCAGGAAGUAGGCGGAAUUCAUGGUGUAGCGGUGAAAUGCUUAGAUAUCAUGACGAACUCCGAUUGCGCAGGCAGCUUACUGUAGCAUAACUGACGCCGAUGCUCGAAAGUGCGGGUAUCAAACAGG